CACUCCUGCGGGAGGCAGCAGUGAGGAAUAUUGGACAAUGGGUGGAAGCCUGAUCCAGCCAUCCCGCGUGCAGGAAGACGGCCCUAUGGGUUGUAAACUGCUUUUAUCUGGGGAUAAACCUACUUACGUGUAAGUAGCUGAAGGUACCAGAAGAAUAAGCACCGGCUAACUCCGUGCCAGCAGCCGCGGUAAUACGGAGGGUGCAAGCGUUAUCCGGAUUUAUUGGGUUUAAAGGGUCCGUAGGCGGACUGAUAAGUCAGUGGUGAAAUCCGACAGCUUAACUGUCGAACUGCCAUUGAUACUGUUAGUCUUGAGUAAGGUUGAAGUGGCUGGAAUAAGUAGUGUAGCGGUGAAAUGCAUAGAUAUUACUUAGAACACCAAUUGCGAAGGCAGGUCACUAAGUCUUAACUGACGCUGAUGGACGAAAGCGUGGGGAGCGAACAGGAUUAGAAACCCCGGUAGUCCCA
rnacentral:rRNA from 1 species